GCGGGGGUAUCAAAGGCUGGUCAAAUGAGCGGGACUUAAGAUCCCGUCCCCUAGCGGGUUCGGGGGUUCAAAUCCCUCCCCCCGCA
rnacentral:tRNA from 1 species